ACCUGGUGAUGUGGGCAUUUACGGAGCAGAUCCCUAAAGUGCCCACAAGUCUCAAAAAAGAGUUCCCCAUCCAUCUGUGAGAAACUUGUAAUGACUCUCUGAAACU